rnacentral:rRNA from 1 species
GCCCUUAGAGUUUGAUCCUGGCUCAGGACGAACGCUGGCGGCGUGCUUAACACAUGCAAGUCGAGCGGUAAGGCCCUUCGGGGUACACGAGCGGCGAACGGGUGAGUAACACGUGAGCAACCUGCCCCUGACUCUGGGAUAAGCGGUGGAAACGCCGUCUAAUACCGGAUACNACCCUCCACCUCAUGGUGGAGGGUGGAAAGUUUUUUCGGUCAGGGAUGGGCUCGCGGCCUAUCAGCUUGUUGGUGGGGUAACGGCCUACCAAGGCGAUUACGGGUAGCCGGCCUGAGAGGGCGACCGGCCACACUGGGACUGAGACACGGCCCAGACUCCUGCGGGAGGCAGCAGUGGGGAAUAUUGCGCAAUGGGCGAAAGCCUGACGCAGCGACGCCGCGUGGGGGAUGACGGCCUUCGGGUUGUAAACCUCUUUUACCACCAACGCAGGCUCCGGGUUCUCUCGGGGUUGACGGUAGGUGGGGAAUAAGGACCGGCUAACUACGUGCCAGCAGCCGCGGUAAUACGUAGGGUCCGAGCGUUGUCCGGAAUUAUUGGGCGUAAAGAGCUCGUAGGCGGGCGUGUCGCCGUCUGCUGUGGAAAAGACCGGGGGCUUAACUCCGGUUCUGCAGUGGAUAC